rnacentral:rRNA from 1 species
GACGAACGCUGGCGGCGUGCUUAACACAUGCAAGUCGAACGGAAAGGCCCUGCUUGCAGGGUACUCGAGUGGCGAACGGGUGAGUAACACGUGGGUGAUCUGCCCUGCACUUCGGGAUAAGCCUGGGAAACUGGGUCUAAUACCGGAUAGGAGCCAUUUUUAGUGUGAUGGUUGGAAAGUUUUUUCGGUGUAGGAUGAGCUCGCGGCCUAUCAGCUUGUUGGUGGGGUAAUGGCCUACCAAGGCGGCGACGGGUAGCCGGCCUGAGAGGGUGGACGGCCACAGUGGGACUGAGAUACGGCCCAGACUCCUACGGGAGGCAGCAGUGGGGAAUAUUGCACAAUGGGCGCAAGCCGGAUGCAGCGACGCCGCGUGGGGGAUGACGGCCUUCGGGUUGUAAACUCCUUUCGCUAGGGACGAAGCUUUUUGUGACGGUACCUAGAUAAGAAGCACCGGCUAACUACGUG